ensembl:lncRNA
AAUACGCAUGGUGAAUUAUCAGACCUGCCCAUAAAGUUUCUUUGAGUGCUUUUGUGGUAUGUAUGAUUGAAGAUCUCCUUCUUAAAGCCAAACUGGGAUUUUUAACUGUGUCGGUGUUUACAGCAUGCUAUUUAUUUACUCUCCUGAGUUCACCAAUCAGAUGUAUCAGUGAAACUGUGUUAAUUACAUAAUGCAGUGUGUUAAUUGCAUAAUGUAGAAUAAUGUUAAUUACAUAAUACAGUGUGUUAAUUGCAUAAUGUAGAAUAAUGUUUCUGUGGCUCAACUACUCAAGGAUCUCUUCUAACACCAGGCUCAUAUGUUUGAUACGCAGGAGACAGACAUAUUGAUGAAAAUGUAUAUCUGUACUGUACUAUAAGUUACUUUGGAUACAAGUGUUUGCUAAAUGAAUAGAUGUAUAUUGGAGAGAUCUUGGAAAAAAUUGGUCAAAGUGAGGUAAAAUUGGCAGAAAACAUUCCAAACCCUUUUUUUGGUUUCAAAAUCAUUAAUUUAAUUGUAUUUAUUUCAUUGAUGGCACAUCGUCAUAACAUCAGAGGGAAAACACAACACGAGUGGCUAACCGCCUCCUAAACUAUCACUGGACUCAGUUUGGGUUUGACCUCCGACCUCCAGGGCAUGACCUCCCGGGUCCAGCUACACUGAGUUACCAAACACACCCCUCUCCUCCUGUGAUCUCUCUCUCUCCAGUGAGCAGAAAGCAGCAUCACUGCUAACUUCUCCUUCUCUCUCUCCCAUUCGUCUUAUUUUCCUAUGGCUGUUUCUCUCACUGUGCUACAAACUCAUGUCAUCCUCUCAUCACACUUUCUGCAAGAGGCGCUAACCAGGAAGUCUGCUCUACCUAACUGAGAAACUCACCUACUCACUCACGCUAAUUAAAGGCGCAAACACACACACACAGCUGUGCGGAGGCAACCGACAGAUUGCUGUUGACAGAGUGAAUGAAACUAAACUAAACAGAACUACUUAAGUGCGUGUGGAUCGACCCAUAUGUGUACUGCUAUGUCAGCCCCUGAGGGUUGAUCCAGACAUCUGACUCUCAGGAUGGGGAUGUGGAAGGUAUGUGGAGGGUAUUGGGGGGGGUAUGGGGGAUAAGGUACAUACAUCAAGCAACGGCAUAAAAUAGCUGCUCUACCCGGAGCUGUGUAUAUGAGUGAAUAAGUGAGAGAGAGUUUGUGUUUGUGUCUGCGAAGGCCUCCAGGUGGCGCUGUGCUGUGAGGCAGCAGGUUUAGGAGGUCUUCUUGAAGACCUGCUUCGCCACCACACCUUCCACUCGCAGCUCCUGUUCAAAGACAAAGAAGGAACAUGAUCACUAUGGGUCAGUUCAACCAAUCAAAGACAUACUUAUAUAUACACAGGUCUUAUUACGGUGAUACCAUACGAAUUUGUUGUCAUUUAUUUACUAAUCAUGAAUACACAUUGUAUGCAUAGACCUCUGCAUAUGAGAUUGAUUACUACAGUGUACAGACACAAGGGUUAAGGUUAGGGAAAUGUUAGUAUUAUUACACAGCCUGGGUGGUCACACACAUCCGGGUGUACCUCUCUCAGCAUGAAAUAUUUUAAUACUGAAACGUGAGGAGAAUUUACCAUUUAUUACAAGGAGUGUUUGGAAUGAGCGUUACUGGCGGCUGAAUCGUCAAGUCAUGACAGGGAUUAAGAAACAAGGUGCAGUUUGUAUUAUUGCCUACAGGGGG